CCCUACAACGCGCCGAGCUCCAUCCGGUAGGCGGGGGAUUCCGACCCACGGAUGGAGGCGGGGACCCACCAGGUCCACCGAGAUCGGACCGGGCCCUUCACAGCCCUUGGGGUGAAGCCGACGUCGUCCCACAGAUGUAGUACGACGCUGGCCGGGUAACCUCUCCAACCCGAACCCGACAGCUGACCUCGCAGGCGUGUACCGAGAGGAAUU
rnacentral:sRNA from 2 species